CCUUCGAUAGCUCAGCUGGUAGAGCGGAGGACUGUAGUAUCUACUAUGUAGCUAUCCUUAGGUCGCUGGUUCGAUUCCGGCUCGAAGGA
rnacentral:tRNA from 1 species